GACGAACGCUGGCGGCGUGCUUAACACAUGCAAGUCGGGCGGGGAUAAGAGCUUCGGUUCUUAUUCUAGCGGCGGACGGGUGAGUAACGCGUGAACAAUCUGUCCCAGACAGGGGGAUAACACUUGGAAGCAGGUGCUAAUACCGCAUAAGACCACGACACCACAUGGUGAUGGGGUGAAAGAUUUAUCGGUUUGGGGUGAGUUCGCUUCCGAUUAGCUAGUUGGUGAGGUAACGGCCCACCAAGGCGACGAUCGGUAGCCGACCUGAGAGGGUGAUCGGCCACAUUGGAACUGAGACACGGUCCAA
rnacentral:rRNA from 1 species